rnacentral:rRNA from 1 species
AGACCCGAAACCCGGUGAUCUAGCCAUGGGCAGGUUGAAGGUUGGGUAACACUAACUGGAGGACCGAACCGACUAAUGUUGAAAAAUUAGCGGAUGACCUGUGGCUGGGGGUGAAAGGCCAAUCAAACCGGGAGAUAGCUGGUUCUCCCCGAAAGCUAUUUAGGUAGCGCCUCGUGAAUUCAUCUCCGGGGGUAGAGCACUGUUUCGGCUAGGGGGCCAUCCCGGCUUACCAACCCGAUGCAAACUGCGAAUACCGGAGAAUGUUAUCACGGGAGACACACGGCGGGUGCUAACGUCCGUCGUGAAGAGGGAAACAACCCAGACCGCCAGCUAAGGUCCCAAAGUCAUGGUUAAGUGGGAAACGAUGUGGGAAGGCCCAGACAGCCAGGAUGUUGGCUUAGAAGCAGCCAUCAUUUAAAGAAAGCGUAAUAGCUCACUGGUCGAGUCGGCCUGCGCGGAAGAUGUAACGGGGCUAAACCAUGCACCGAAGCUGCGGCAGCGACACUGUGUGUUGUUGGGUAGGGGAGCGUUCUGUAAGCCUGUGAAGGUGUGUCGUGAGGCAUGCUGGAGGUAUCAGAAGUGCGAAUGCUGACAUAAGUAACGAUAAAGCGGGUGAAAAGCCCGCUCGCCGGAAGACCAAGGGUUCCUGUCCAACGUUAAUCGGGGCAGGGUGAGUCGACCCCUAAGGCGAGGCCGAAAGGCGUAGUCGAUGGGAAACGGGUUAAUAUUCCCGUACUUGGUGUUACUGCGAAGGGGGGACGGAGAAGGCUAUGUUGGCCGGGCGACGGUUGUCCCGGUUUAAGCGUGUAGGUGUGUGUUCCAGGUAAAUCCGGUUCACUUUAACACUGAGGCGUGACGACGAGGCACUACGGUGCUGAAGCAACAAAUGCCCUGCUUCCAGGAAAAGCCUCUAAGCAUCAGGUAACAUCAAAUCGUACCCCAAACCGACACAGGUGGUCAGGUAGAGAAUACCAAGGCGCUUGAGAGAACUCGGGUGAAGGAACUAGGCAAAAUGGUGCCGUAACUUCGGGAGAAGGCACGCUGACACGUAGGUGAAGUGAUUUACUCAUGGAGCUGAAGUCAGUCGAAGAUACCAGCUGGCUGCAACUGUUUAUUAAAAACACAGCACUGUGCAAACACGAAAGUGGACGUAUACGGUGUGACGCCUGCCCGGUGCCGGAAGGUUAAUUGAUGGGGUCAGCGCAAGCGAAGCUCCUGAUCGAAGCCCCGGUAAACGGCGGCCGUAACUAUAACGGUCCUAAGGUAGCGAAAUUCCUUGUCGGGUAAGUUCCGACCUGCACGAAUGGCGUAAUGAUGGCCAGGCUGUCUCCACCCGAGACUCAGUGAAAUUGAACUCGCUGUGAAGAUGCAGUGUACCCGCGGCAAGACGGAAAGACCCCGUGAACCUUUACUAUAGCUUGACACUGAACAUUGAGCCUUGAUGUGUAGGAUAGGUGGG